rnacentral:rRNA from 1 species
GUCUGCAGUGGGUACGGGCAGACUAGAGUGCAGUAGGGAGACUGGAAUUCCUGGUGUAGCGGUGAAAUGCGCAGAUAUCAGGAGGAACACCGAUGGCGAAGGCAGGUCUCUGGGCUGUAACUGACGCUGAGGAGCGAAAGCAUGGGAGCGAACAGGAUUAGAUACCCUGGUAGUCCAUGCCGUAAACGUUGGGCACUAGGUGUGGGGGACAUUUCCACGUUUUCCGCGCCGUAGCUAACGCAUUAAGUGCCCCGCCUGGGGAGUACGGCCGCAAGGCUAAAACUCAAAGGAAUUGACGGGGGCCCGCACAAGCGGCGGAGCAUGCGGAUUAAUUCGAUGCAACGCGAAGAACCUUACCAAGGCUUGACAUGGGCCGGACCGGGCUGGAAACAGUCCUUCCCUUCGGGGCCGGUUCACAGGUGGUGCAUGGUUGUCGUCAGCUCGUGUCGUGAGAUGUUGGGUUAAGUCCCGCAACGAGCGCAACCCUCGUUCCAUGUUGCCAGCGCGUAAUGGCGGGGACUCAUGGGAGACUGCCGGGGUCAACUCGGAGGAAGGUGGGGACGACGUCAAAUCAUCAUGCCCCUUAUGUCUUGGGCUUCACGCAUGCUACAAUGGCCGGUACAAUGGGUUGCGAUACUGUGAGGUGGAGCUAAUCCCAAAAAGCCGGUCUCAGUUCGGAUUGGGGUCUGCAACUCGACCCCAUGAAGUCGGAGUCGCUAGUAAUCGCAGAUCAGCAACGCUGCGGUGAAUACGUUCCCGGGCCUUGUACACACCGCCCGUCAAGUCACGAAAGUUGGUAGGACCCGAAGCCGGUGGCCUAACCCCUUGUGGGAGGGAGCCGUCGAAGG